CCCCUAACCAAGUUCGCCGUCACUGUCCACAUAGCGUCCGCUUUCCCAUGACUUCUCCAAGCUCCGCCCUCCACUAACCUCCUUUCCAACUCCUGUGCUUUCUCGUUAGACAAAGCACCCCAUCUAAUCCGCGGUUGACCCCGGGCGCCCCUCCUCUUCCUCUUCACCCAGAGAUCGACAUCCAUCACUAGGAGUCUAUGAGGAGUUGAAAGAGACUCUCCCGGAAUAACCUUGCAGUCCUUGCACAAACCCCUAUCGCUCCUUCUGAUNNNN
rnacentral:lncRNA from 1 species